rnacentral:rRNA from 1 species
CCUACGGGAGGCAGCAGUGAGGAAUAUUGGUCAAUGGACGAGAGUCUGAACCAGCCAAGUAGCGUGAAGGAUGACUGCCCUAUGGGUUGUAAACUUCUUUUAUAUGGGAAUAAAAUGUUCCACGUGUGGGAUUUUGUAUGUACCAUAUGCAUAAGGAUCCGCUAACUCCGUGCCAGCAGCCGCGGUAAUACGGAGGAUCCGAGCGUUAUCCGGAUUUAUUGGGUUUAAAGGGAGCGUAGGUGGAUUGUUAAGUCAGUUGUGAAAGUUUGCGGCUCAAACGUAAAAUUGCAGUUGAAACUGGCAGUCUUGAGUACAGUAGAGGUGGGCGGAAUUCGUGGUGUAGCGGUGAAAUGCUUAGAUAUCACGAAGAACUCCGAUUGCGAAGGCAGUUCACUGGACUGCAACUGACACUGAGGCUCGAAAGUGUGGGUAUCAAACAGGAUUAGAUACCCUGGUAGUC